rnacentral:rRNA from 1 species
AAGAGCUCAAAUUUGUAAUCUGGCCCUUUCAGGGUCCGAGUUGUAAUCUCGAGAAGUGUUUUUCCGCGUCGGACUGCAUACAAGUCUAUUGGAAUAUAGCGUCAUAGUGGUGAGAGCCCCGUAACUGAUGCAGAUGCCCGAUGCUUUGUGAUACACUUUCGAAGAGUCGAGUUGUUUGGGAAUGCAGCUCAAAUUGGGUGGUAAAUUCCAUCUAAAGCUAAAUAUUGGCGAGAGACCGAUAGCGAACAAGUACCGUGAGGGAAAGAUGAAAAGCACUUUGGAAAGAGAGUUAACAGUACGUGAAAUUGUUGGAAGGGAAACGCUUGAAAUCAGACUUGCUAUUCGGAAUUCAGCCGCAAGGUGUACUUUUCGAUUUGCAGGCCAGCAUCAGUUUUUGGGGGUGGAAAAGGGUGGAGAGAAGGUAGCAACCCCGGUUGUGUUAUAGCUCUUCACUGGAUUCAUCUUUGGGGACUGAGGAUCGCAGUGCGCAUUUAUUUGCAAACCUCUCGAGGUUUUCGUACUUAGGAUGCUGGUGGAAUGGUUUUAAACGACCCGUCUUGAAACACGGACCAAGGAGUCUAACAUGCUUGCGAGUGUUUGGGUGUCAAACCCGAACGCGCAAUGAAAGUGAAUGGAGGUGGGAUCCGCAAGGUGCACCAUCGACCGAUCUGGAUUUUCUAAGAUGGAUUUGAGUAAGAGCAAUUAUGUUGGGACCCGAAAGAUGGUGAACUAUGCCUGAAUAGGGCGAAGCCAGAGGAAACUCUGGUGGAGGCUCGUAGCGGUUCUGACGUGCAAAUCGAUCGUCAAAUUUGGGUAUAGGGGGCGAAAGA